UCCUCCGUAGCUUAGCUGGUCAGAGCGCCGUACUUAUAGAUAAGAACUAUCUAUGCCAUGCGGAGGUCGGCGGUUCAAAUCUGCCCGGAGGAA